AUACGGAGGGUGCAAGCGUUACUCGGAAUCACUGGGCGUAAAGCGCGCGCAGGCGGCUUGAUAAGUUGGAUGUGAAAGCCUACGGCUCAACCGUAGAACUGCAUCCAAAACUGUCAAGCUAGAGUCUGGGAGGGGAAGAUGGAAUUAGUUGUGUAGGGGUAAAAUCCGUAGAGAUAACUAGGAAUGCCAAAAGCGAAGGCGAUCUUCUGGAACAGUACUGACGCUGAGGCGCGAAAGCGUGGGGAGCAAACAGGAUUAGAAACCCCGGUAGUCC
rnacentral:rRNA from 1 species